rnacentral:rRNA from 1 species
UACGGAGGGUGCAAGCGUUAUCCGGAUUCACUGGGUUUAAAGGGUGCGUAGGUGGGCAGGUAAGUCAGUGGUGAAAUCUCCGGGCUUAACUCGGAAACUGCCAUUGAUACUAUCUUUCUUGAAUACCGUGGAGGUCAGCGGAAUAUGUCAUGUAGCGGUGAAAUGCUUAGAUAUGACAUAGAACACCAAUUGCGAAGGCAGCUGGCUACACGAAUAUUGACACUGAUGCACGAAAGCGUGGGGAUCAAACAGGAAUUAGAA